rnacentral:rRNA from 1 species
CCUACGGGAGGCAGCAGUGGGGAAUCUUGGACAAUGGGCGCAAGCCUGAUCCAGCCAUGCCGCGUGAGUGACGAAGGUCUUCGGAUUGUAAAAGCUCUUUUGCCAGGGACGAUAAUGACGGUACCUGGAGAAUAAGCCCCGGCUAACUUCGUGCCAGCAGCCGCGGUAAUACGAAGGGGGCUAGCGUUGUUCGGAAUUACUGGGCGUAAAGCGCACGUAGGCGGAUUUGUAAGUCAGGGGUGAAAUCCCGGGGCUCAACCGUCGGAACUGCCUUUGAUACUGCGAAUCUCGAGUCCGAUAGAGGUGAGUGGAAUUCCUAGUGUAGAGGUGAAAUUCGUAGAUAUUAGGAAGAACACCAGUGGCGAAGGCGGCUCACUGGAUCGGUACUGACGCUGAGGUGCGAAAGCGUGGGGAGCAAACAGGAUUACGAUACCCUGGUAGUCCAACGCCGUAAACUAUGGUGCUAGCCGUCGGAUAGCUUGCUAUGUGCGCNNCACNCAUANCNCCCGCCGNGGAGACGCGCAGUAACGUACAANANAUGNGCGNGAGAGNGCGAGCGACGACGAGGAGAGG